UACGUAGGGUGCGAGCGUUAAUCGGAAUACUGGCGUAAAGCGUGCGCAGGCGGUGAUGUAAGACAGGUGUGAAAUCCCCGGGCUUAACCUGGGAACUGCAUUUGUGACUGCAUCGCUGGAGUGCGGCAGAGGGGGAUGGAAUUCCGGCGUGUAGCAGUGAAAUGCGUAGAUAAUGCGGAGGAACACCGAUGGCGAAGGCA
rnacentral:rRNA from 1 species